CAUUACACUUAUCCAUCGCAGAAUAACCUUGGUUCACAGAAGGUUGUGUGCUAGAUGUCACUGUGUCAUAUGCAUUACACUUAUCCAUCGCAGAAUAACCUUGGUUCACAGAAGGUUGUGUGCUAGAUGUCACUGUGUCAUAUGCAUUACACUUAUCCAUCGCAGAAUAACCUUGGUUCACAGAAGGUUGUGUGCUAGAUGUCACUGUGUCAUAUGCAUUACACUUAUCCAUCGCAGAAUAACCUUGGUUCACAGAAGGUUGUGUGCUAGAUGUCACUGUGUCAUAUGCAUUACACUUAUCCAUCGCAGAAUAACCUUGGUUCACAGAAGGUUGUGUGCUAGAUGUCACUGUGUCAUAUGCAUUACACUUAUCCAUCGCAGAAUAACCUUGGUUCACAGAAGGUUGUGUGCUAGAUGUCUCCUUUUUACUGUUUUGAGCAACUAAUGUUAAAUUCACUUUAUCAGAAUACCUUGUACAUGUUACUGGAAGGAAUGAUAUCAGAAAGUUCAAAGUACAGUUAUUCAACUUGUUUCAAAAUAUAUUUAAAAAGAUGAGGAAUAUUGGUGCAAACCUUUCUUCAUUAGAAUAGCUGCUUUGCAUUUUAAGUUUCUGAUGAGUUUGUAAAUUGUUGGGACCCAUCAACUUUUGUAUUUGAGAUGUGGUUACUGUUUGAAGUGCAUGUUCUUAAUUGUUACUGUAUUCCUCUUGAUGUUUCUGUCAUCGUAUACAGGUGCAAGUCAUGCUAGCAGGACUUGUGCCAACAUAUGAAUCAAAUGAUCAGGCAAGACAAACGAGCACAGCCUAACCAUGUACAGGUAAAAAGAGGAUGAGGGAUCACGCCGAACUAAUUGGUUGGUGCGUACACGAUAUUACAUUGGCAUGAUUGAAGCAGGCAAAGAAAUCAUACAAACAGGUUGGAAUACUGCUCUAGAAGAUGUAACUUCACCAAUUGGAUUGGAUAUUUAUGUGUUAGUUUCAGCAUAAAAAAAAAAAAAAUGAGUGGUUAGAAUUUAGACAUGAUGUCGAGGACCUGAAAGCCAUCCAAAGAAAGAAAAAAAAGGAGAGAAUUUAGUAUAUAUAAUAGUUUUGUGCAAAUAUCAAGUUUGAAAAUUUUACUUGUUUCCUUCUAACACUUGACAAUAGAAAUGGGGGCAAAACAACUGUUGAAAAGGUUACUCUUCGAUUGUACAUGCUGCUCGUUUCCAAUCAUCGUCUUUCAUAGUUGAGAAUUAUCAAAAUCUAGGUUGUCUUGUUCAACCUUAAAGGGAUUCAAGCAAAGGUACUAACCUCUGGUUAUCUGGGGGAGGGGAACCCUGGGGGGAAAAGCAAAUAGGGGACGGCUGUUAUCUAUGAAUGGAGCUCUUCCUCUUUAUUCACUUUGUGUAAACCUUUCUCUGAUUAGCUUGUACCAGAUUAGGCUGACGAAUAAAUUACAUUGGGUAGUUUUAGCCAUAAUAAGUUAGAUAAUGAAUGCAAUCCUAGGUUUCUCAAUGUGAGGAGCUUUGUUCAUUAUUAAAUUUCAUCUAAAAUACCAUUUUAGAGGCUAAAAUAAGACAUAUAAGAUUGUGGUUAUAUAUAGUUUAAUACCCCCUUUUCUACUAAUAUCAUAAUUAUCACUUGUUUUCUGUGUUCA